GUCCUUUCCAGCAACAUGAAGCAUAAGAGUGUUUUCUGCACAGAAAGAGAGACGUGUGGAUGCACAGUGCUGGGUGGUGUGUGGUGAGAAGGGCAGGUGGUAGAAGAUGAGGGGUUUGCACAGAGGGAGCCACAUGGAAAGCAUAAGAAGAAAUGUGGGCAGUUUCGAGGAGCAAAGGCUGAUCCCCUGACAACCAGCAUAAAAGUGGAGACCUCAGGUCUAUGAGGACCUCAGUUCUACAACCACAGAGACACAAAUUUGGUCAGCAUCCUGAAUCAGCAUCGUUUCAUGUUCAUCCCCAAAGCCUCCAGCAGCACAGCCCUGGCAAAACCUUGGUUUCAGGAAUGUGAGAAUCACCACAGACGACCCUGUUGUUCUACGCUGUACCCAGAAUUCUGAGUCAGAAAACUUUGACUCAGAAUAAUAAACGUUUGAG
rnacentral:lncRNA from 10 species